GAUGAACGCUGGCGGCGUGCCUAAUACAUGCAAGUCGAGCGAACGGACGAGAAGCUUGCUUCUCUGAUGUUAGCGGCGGACGGGUGAGUAACACGUGGAUAACCUACCUAUAAGACUGGGAUAACUUCGGGAAACCGGAGCUAAUACCGGAUAAUCUUUUGAACCGCAUGGUUCAAAAGUGAAAGACGGUCUUGCUGUCACUUAUAGAUGGAUCCGCGCUGCAUUAGCUAGUUGGUAAGGUAACGGCUUACCAAGGCAGCGAUGCAUAGCCGACCUGGUAGACUGAUAGGCCACACUGGAACUGAGACGCGGUCCUGGCUCCUACGGGAGGCAGCAGUAGGGAAUCUUCCGCAGUGGGCGAAAGCCUUACGGAGCAACGCCGCGUGAGUGAUGGAGGUCUUCGGAUCGUAAAACUCUGUUAUUAGGGAAGAACAUAUGUGUAAGUAACUGUGCACAGCUUGACGGUACCUAAUCAGAAAGCCACGGCUAACUACGUG
rnacentral:rRNA from 1 species